rnacentral:rRNA from 1 species
GAACGAACGCUGGCGGCAGGCCUAACACAUGCAAGUCGAACGGAUCCUUCGGGAUUAGUGGCAGACGGGUGAGUAACGCGUGGGAAGCUACCUUGUGGUAGGGAACAACAGUUGGAAACGACUGCUAAUACCCUAUGAGCCCUAUGGGGGAAAGAUUUAUCGCCAUGAGAUGUGCCCGCGUUAGAUUAGCUAGUUGGUAAGGUAAUGGCUUACCAAGGCGACGAUCUAUAGCUGGUCUGAGAGGAUGAUCAGCCACACUGGGACUGAGACACGGCCCAGACUCCUACGGGAGGCAGCAGUGGGGAAUAUUGGACAAUGGGGGCAACCCUGAUCCAGCCAUGCCGCGUGAGUGAUGACGGCCUUAGGGUUGUAAAGCUCUUUCAGCAGUGAAGAUAAUGACAUUAACUGCAGAAGAAGCCCCGGCUAACUUCGUGCCAGCAGCCGCGGUAAUACGAAGGGGGCUAGCGUUGUUCGGAAUCACUGGGCGUAAAGCGUACGUAGGCGGACUGAUCAGUCAGGGGUGAAAUCCCGGGGCUCAACCCCGGAACUGCCUUUGAUACUGUCAGUCUUGAGAUCGAGAGAGGUGAGUGGAACUCCGAGUGUAGAGGUGAAAUUCGUAGAUAUUCGGAAGAACACCAGUGGCGAAGGCGGCUCACUGGCUCGA